AUACGUAGGUGGCAAGCGUUGUCCGGAAUUAUUGGGCGUAAAGGGCGUGUAGGUGGAUUUUUUAAGUCGUGUGUCUAAGUGCGGGGCUCAACCCCGUAUGGGCGCAGGAAACUGGAAAUCUUGAGUGCAGGAGAGGAAAGUGGAAUUCCCAGUGUAGCGGUGAAAUGCGUAGAUAUUGGGAGGAACACCAGUGGCGAAGGCGACUUUCUGGACUGUGUCUGACACUGAGGCGCGAAAGCCAGGGGAGC
rnacentral:rRNA from 1 species